AUGGGACAUUUGUACAAUCCACAUAUGAAGAUAAGGAAGAAAGAGAUGUUUAUUUGCUGUCCAAAAAGUUCUCUCACGUCACUUUUGGCCCAAGAGAAGAUAGAGUCCAAGUCUCUCACGUUCUGGAUUCAGAUUCGGACUGCACAGACAUACCUGACUCAAAACGCACACAAGUUUUUCAUACGGACUCCGAAUUGGGUGGUUCUUUUUUUGUUGGAAACUAGAUUUCGUGCACUUUCUAUCCCAAUUGGAAUCACCUUCAAAUUCGUCCGGAGCGUUGAGUUGUGGACGAAACAAUCUGAUGCUGCAGCAGAAUCCGAGUCAAACUACAAGUCCAAAGGAAUAGACCUUCGUGGUCAGGUUGAUUGUGCUCCAGCGUGGUCAAUAACCUCUCGGAGUUGGUUUAGCGAUUGCUAA
rnacentral:rRNA from 1 species